CUUGCUUCUCUUGAGAGCGGCGGACGGGUGAGUAAUGCCUAGGAAUCUGCCUGGUAGUGGGGGAUAACGUCCGGAAACGGACGCUAAUACCGCAUACGUCCUACGGGAGAAAGCAGGGGACCUUCGGGCCUUGCGCUAUCAGAUGAGCCUAGGUCGGAUUAGCUAGUUGGUGGGGUAAUGGCUCACCAAGGCGACGAUCCGUAACUGGUCUGAGAGGAUGAUCAGUCACACUGGAACUGAGACACGGUCCAGACUCCUACGGGAGGCAGCAGUGGGGAAUAUUGGACAAUGGGCGAAAGCCUGAUCCAGCCAUGCCGGGUGUGUGAAGAAGGUCUUCGGAUUGUAAAGCACUUUAAGUUGGGAGGAAGGGCAGUAAAUUAAUACUUUGCUGUUUUGACGUUACCGACAGAAUAAGCACCGGCUAACUCUGUGCCAGCAGCCGCGGUAAUACAGAGGGUGCAAGCGUUAAUCGGAAUUACUGGGCGUAAAGCGCGCGUAGGUGGUUCGUUAAGUUGGAUGUGAAAUCCCCGGGCUCAACCUGGGAACUGCAUUCAAAACUGACGAGCUAGAGUAUGGUAGAGGGGUGGUGGAAUUUCCUGUGUAGCGGUGAAAUGCGUAGAUAUAGGAAGGAACACCAGUGGCGAAGGCGACCACCUGGACUGAUACUGACACUGAGGUGCGAAAGCGUGGGGAGCAAACAGGAUUAGAUACCCUGGUAGUUCACGCCGUAAACGAUGUCAACUAGCCGUUGGGAGCCUUGAGC
rnacentral:rRNA from 1 species